rnacentral:rRNA from 1 species
AUUGAACGCUGGCGGCAUGCUUUACACAUGCAAGUCGAACGGCAGCACAGGGAGCUUGCUCCUGGGUGGCGAGUGGCGAACGGGUGAGUAAUGUAUCGGAACGUGCCUGGUAGUGGGGGAUAACUACUCGAAAGAGUGGCUAAUACCGCAUGAGAUCUUUGGAUGAAAGCGGGGGACCUUCGGGCCUCGUGCUACUGGAGCGGCCGAUAUCAGAUUAGGUUGUUGGUGGGGUAAAGGCCUACCAAGCCUGCGAUCUGUAGCUGGUCUGAGAGGACGACCAGCCACACUGGAACUGAGACACGGCCCAGACUCCUACGGGAGGCAGCAGUGGGGAAUUUUGGACAAUGGGCGCAAGCCUGAUCCAGCAAUGCCGCGUGCAGGACGAAGGCCUUCGGGUUGUAAACUGCUUUUGUACAGAACGAAAAGUCUCUGGCUAAUAUCUAGAGAUCAUGACGGUACUGUAAGAAUAAGCACCGGCUAACUACGUG